GAGAAUGGCGGGAACGCGGGAGGCGGAGGUUUCAGUGAGCCGAGAUCGCGCCACUGCACUGCAGCCUGGUGACAGAGCGAGACUCCGUCUCAAAAAAUAAAAUAAAUAAAAUAAAGUCUGUUAUAUUUCAAAAUCUGAAGACAAAUCACUGUAGUUCAGGAGCUCAGCGUCUUCCUCAGCAGCACUUCCAUGUCAUCUGCCCCGUGAAAUCAGCCUAACGCCGUUUCUCAAUGACGCGGAUCGCCCUAGACCACCGCAACCUUCCGGAAGCUCUCUCAGCUCAGUUCCCAUUCUCCCACCAUCUCUUGGUUCUCCUUCUACCUCACCGGUUGCUAGUCCUCCGCUUCGCAGCUGAAAAUGUGCCCGGGGCCUACCGUGGGCCUAGCCAGGCCUGCUUACGCAGUGCAGUUUCCCAUGAAUAAUGCCCAGUCAUUAUCACAUAACCUGUGGCAAGCCAGCAAGAUGGCCCUGGUGACAGAAAAAGAAACUGCACUAGGACCUGAAUGUAGAUCUAAGUCAUGUUCCUUACUAACAGCACGUUUUACAACCACGCGUUAAAGAAACAUCUGACUCACAACAAAAUUUUAAAGGGUUUAUUUGAGUGAAAAGCAAUUUAUGAAUUGGGGAACACCUGACUGAAAGAGCUUUAGUAUUCCAG
rnacentral:lncRNA from 1 species